rnacentral:rRNA from 1 species
AUGAAGGUGCUCGAGGCGAAGGACCACUCGUCGGCGAGUUCUAGCUGGAGGCGGCGAGAUCCCUCUCCCAAUCUCUCAUUCUCUCGAUUUUUUCACACGCGCGCACCCAAUCCCAUCCUGGUCUCGCCUCAGCCGCCCCCGCACAAACCUUUUACCCCUUUUCUUCUCGAUCCCCACAGCCGCUGCAACCCUCCCUCCCCACCUCCCUUGUCAGCCGCCGCCGCCACUCCCCCUCCCUCUUCUCUAUCGCCGGCGGCCAGCUCAUCCCACUGCCUCAUCCUCGCCGCUGACCACGGAUCCGCCAUGGACGGAGUCACGUCUUCGCCUUCGCAGGCAGCACUGGCGGACGAGCGCACACGCAUGUCCUCUUCCUGGUGGAAGGUAACUCGAGCAUGGGAGUAG